GAUGAAGAACGUAGCGAAAUGCGAUAAGUAAUGUGAAUUGCAGAAUUCAGUGAAUCAUCGAAUCUUUGAACGCACAUUGCGCCCGCCAGUAUUCUGGCGGGCAUGCCUGUUCGAGCGUCAUUUCAACCAUCAAGCCCCCGGGCUUGUGUUGGGGACCUGCGGCUGCCGCAGGCCCUGAAAAGCAGUGGCGGGCUCGCUGUCACACCGAGCGUAGUAGAUUUUAUCUCGCUCUGGGCGUGCUGCGGGUUCCGGCCGUUAAACCACCCUUUUAACCCAAGGUUGACCUCGGAUCAGGUAGGAAGACCCGCUGAACUUAAGCAUAUCAAUAAGCGGAGGAU
rnacentral:misc_RNA from 1 species